UCAGGCUCCUCCCAAAGGCCUCUCUCUGCUCCACUUCUUGACCGUUCCUGACGGGCUGCUCUCUAACUGCUUCUUCUGGAAUGUUCCACAGAGGGGUUCUCUCCUCUGCUGGCUCUCCCUAGCUUCACUUCACUUGGCUCGUCUGUCUCGUGUGUGUAUCACCUUCUAACACUCUCUGCCUUCUCCUUUUACCAAUGAUCUUUCCACAGAACACAAGCCCGUGAGAGGGGAUAGGCUCGUCUCCGUUUCCGGAUGUUGUCCAAGCAUCUAGAAUAGUGGCUGGUCAGUAAAUAUUUGCCGGAUGAAUUCAGCAAAUAAUAACACAGGUAUGCUGUGCAUGGAGACCACCCCUUCCGUGUUUGACAUCACUUCUUUUCCACGGAGAGGAGCGUGUUUGGAUGGUGGCCAGCAUCCCAGGGAGCUCUUCCUAGCGUUCCCCAGAGGGAAUCAUUGGUGGUCUGUCACGUAUUCAGCCAACGGUGGCCACUGAGCAAUCCAAGCGGCCGAGAUAAUGGGAUUUUAGAACAAUUGUAAAAAUGCCUAGCAUGCCAUCAGGGACUCUGACAACAGAUUAAUGAGGCUCUGGGGCCUUGGUCCUUCCUAAAAGCCAAAGGAGAGAGGAACUUGUAUUAGAAAGAGGGCCUGGUGACCUUGGAUUGCUGUACUUAAGGUUGUCAUGAGCUACUAAGUUAAAGCCGCCUCUGAAGCCAAAGGACAAACACAUCAAGGGAGUUAUCCAACCAGA